UAUAGUGUACACAGGUGAAUAUGAUGUUUGUGAUGUUACUCUGAGUGUGCAUUUCAGUUCAGAGUAACAUGACAAACAUCAUAUUCACCUGAGUAC